rnacentral:rRNA from 1 species
UACGUAGGGGGCAAGCGUUGUCCGGAAUCAUUGGGCGUAAAGAGCGUGUAGGCGGCUAGUGCAGGUCCGCUGUGAAAACUCGAGGCUCAACCUCGAGACGUCGGUGGAAACCGCAUGGCUAGAGUCCGGAAGAGGAGAGUGGAAUUCCCGGUGUAGCGGUGAAAUGCGCAGAUAUCGGGAAGAACACCCGUGGCGAAGGCGGCUCUCUGGGACGGUACUGGACGCUGAGACGCGAAAGCGUGGGGAGCGAACGAG